UACGAAGGGGGCUAGCGUUGCUCGGAAUUACUGGGCGUAAAGGGCGCGUAGGCGGAUAUUUAAGUCAGGGGUGAAAUCCCAGAGCUCAACUCUGGAACUGCCUUUGAUACUGGGUAUCUUGAGUAUGGAAGAGGUGAGUGGAAUUCCGAGUGUAGAGGUGAAAUUCGUAGAUAUUCGGAGGAACACCAGUGGCGAAGGCGGCUCACUGGUCCAUUACUGACGCUGAGGUGCGAAAGCGUGGGGAGCGAUCCGG
rnacentral:rRNA from 1 species